rnacentral:ncRNA from 2 species
CCGUUCGAGGGGCGCUGCAGCAGGCUAGCGCCUGUUUCGGAUCUUGUAGGCCGCAGAGUUUUUUCUGCGCCGCCCGAGCAGAUCCGAAUCAGGCUCCACCUGUCAGGCUCGAACGGAGCGCGCUCACAGGGCCGUUUCCCCGCCCUGUCAACGCACCAACGGCGCCCAUUCGCA